rnacentral:rRNA from 1 species
UACGUAGGGUGCGAGCGUUGUCCGGAAUUACUGGGCGUAAAGAGUUCGUAGGCGGUUUGUCGCGUCGUUCGUGAAAACUUGGGGCUUAACUCCAAGCGUGCGGGCGAUACGGGCAGACUUGAGUACUACAGGGGAGACUGGAAUUCCUGGUGUAGCGGUGAAAUGCGCAGAUAUCAGGAGGAACACCAGUGGCGAAGGCGGUGCUCUGGGCCGGUACUGACGCUGAGGAGCGAAGGCGUGGGUAGCAAACAGG